GGAAGUCAGGGGCGGGGCUUGGGGUAGCGUCACGUCACGCCCCCUCCGACUCCCUCCUCCCGGGCUCCCUGCUCGCUGGCGAGUCCUCACCUGGAGUGACAGGUGUGCACGUCUUCGAACCACGGAGGCUGACCUUCCUGCAUCAGGGACACAGCUACCUGAGUGUUCACCAGCGUCGCUGGGGAGUGGACUUUUGGUGUCAAGAAGGGCAAGGGGACUCACAUACUGGGGCAGGUCCCCACUGACAAGGUGGGUCUGUAGAAGCACAUUGGCCUUUUGUAGUUUUCCUGAAUGUAAACUCAGCUCUCUGAACCUUGACCUUCCAUAUACAGGGUGGGGGGGUACCUUCUACCCAUAAGACUGCUGUGGAAUUAAACCAAACGUAUUAGAAAU
rnacentral:lncRNA from 1 species